rnacentral:pre_miRNA from 1 species
NNAGUACUCCCUCCGUCCCAAAAUUCUUGUCUUAGAUUUGUCUAGAUACGGAUGUAUCAAGUCACAUUUUAGUAUUAGAUACAUCCGUAUCUAGACAAAUCUAAGACAAGAAAUUUGAGACAGAGGGAGUAGUUG